GUAGAGAAUACUCAGGCGCUUGAGAGAACUCGGGUGAAGGAACUAGGCAAAAUGGUGCCGUAACUUCGGGAGAAGGCACGCUGGCAUUAGGUAAAGGGACUUGCUCCCGGCGCCGAAGCCAGUCGCAGAUACCAGCUGGCUGCAACUGUUUAAUAAAAACACAGCACUGUGCAAACACGAAAGUGGACGUAUACGGUGUGACGCCUGCCCGGUGCUGGAAGGUUAAUUGAUGGGGUCAGCCGCAAGGCGAAGCUCUUGAUCGAAGCCCCAGUAAACGGCGGCCGUAACUAUAACGGUCCUAAGGUAGCGAAAUUCCUUGUCGGGUAAGUUCCGACCUGCACGAAUGGCGUAAUGAUGGCCAGGCUGUCUCCACCCGAGACUCAGUGAAAUUGAACUCGCUGUGAAGAUGCAGUGUACCCGCGGCAAGACGGAAAGACCCCGUGAACCUUUACUAUAGCUUGACACUGAACAUUGAGCCUUGAUGUGUAGGAUAGGUGGG
rnacentral:rRNA from 1 species